UGAUAUUACUUUUUUUCAGCUUAACAAACGAGUGAGGAGAACCAGGGCAGUGAAAUGGCUCAGGUUUAGAAGAACUGCGAGAGACCCGGCAGCUGGCAGCAAGUGUGUGGUGGCUGGAUGGGGAGUAACCGAAAACAACCGAACAUCAGACGUCCUCAAGGCUGUUACCGUGACUGUGGUCAGCAGAAAGAAGUGCAACUCUCGCAGCUAUUACAACCGCAACCCUGUUAUCACCACAGGCAUGAUAUGUGCUGGUUCAAAUGGUAGAAAAAGGGCUGAUACCUGUCAAGGGGAUUCAGGAGGGCCGCUGUUGUGUAAAGGAGCGCUGGUUGGAGUCACUUCUUUUGGACGGGGUUGUGGUAUCAUUAGAAAACCUGGAGUCUACUCGUUUGUCUCAAGGAAACAACUCAACUGGAUCAGAAAAACAAUGAAAUCAAAUUAAAUGUCCUGAAUACCCAGGUCUUAGUCCAGAUGAGCUAAGCAAGAUGAGAAUCUUUGAUACUUUUAUGUUAAAUCUGCUUAUGCUGUCAUUUUAUCAUUUCAUCAUUUCUCUCAUAUUUUAUGAAGUUUUAGUUUCCGCUAUCUGUGACAGUUUGCCUCUCAUGGUUACGCUUUUCCACUGCAGGAACUUAAAAUGAGAACAAUGUUGCAAUAUUGAUAAGACGGUAACACCUUAUAUGACCUAAGUAAGUAAUUUAUUUAUAUAGCACUUAUAUAGAUAAAAAUCACAGAGUGCUUCACAAUAAAACCAGAAAUAAAAGAAUAAUAAUAUGGAAGAAUGUAAAAAGACCUGCGAAUAAGGCAUAAGUACUCUGUAAUUACAUGUAAUUUGCAGGCAACAAGUCAAGUUUUUGCAAGAAACAAUGAAUUACAAAUUACACCAUAAGA